CUGGUUGUACAGUCUGAUGGAGGUUGUGUGUUGCUGGUUGUACAGUCUGAUGGAGGUUGUGUGUUGCUGGUUGUACAGUCUGAUGGAGGUUGUGUGUUGCUGGUUGUGCAGUGUGAUGGAGGUUGUGUGUUGCUGGUUGUACAGUCUGAUGGAGGUUGUGUUGCUGGUUGUACAGUCUGAUGGAGGUUGUGUUGCUGGUUGUACAGUCUGAUGGAGGUUGUGUUGUACAGUCUGAUGCAGGUUGUGUUGCUGGUUGUACAGUCUGAUGCAGGUUGUGUUGCUGGUUGUGCAGUGUGAUGGAGGUUGUUGGUUGUGUGUUGCUGG
ensembl:lncRNA